AGUCCAGGGCAGGUACUGGAGGGCGAAGUGCGCCGGGCGGGGGCGGCACUGACCCCGAGGCGGCGGGAGCGGCGAAGGCGCCGGCGUCCCCACCCGCAUCCUGCACCUGCCUCGCUCCCAAGCCCUCCCGGUCCCCGGUCCACACCCGCGCCGGAGCGCGCCGGCUGGGGCAGGAAACCCGACUCGCGCGGGCGGGCUGCGGUCGGGGAUCCCCGCGCGCUACAGGGAGAGGGCCCGGGGCGCGCCCCUUGGGGCCCCGACCGCGGCAGCCAGCCUGGUGCACGGGUCAGGGUGCUCCCCAGGCCCCCGGGCGGGCGGGCGUACCUCGGAUGUAAGCGCACUUGCCCUCGUCCAGCUGGCUGGAGGCUGAGCCGCCCAUGACCGCGAGCUGCCUGUGCUGAGCGCGGAAACUGCCCGGUCCGCGCCCGCUGCUAGCUCCUGGAGGUUGAUCCGACGGCGAACCCGGCUCUGAAAUUAAGAGCAAACUUCCUUCGAGAGGCGAGAGACAGGAGGCAAGAGGCGUCGCCUUCUGGGGCGCCUCCUCCAGGUCCGCGCCUUCUGAUGAUCCGUGGGCCGGCCCGGGGGCUGUCUUCCCGCCCUCGCCUAGCUGGUGAGCUCCGACGGGCUGGCAACCGAGGAGGUCGGCCAGCUCCUCCUCCUCGCCCACGGUCACUUCUUGUUUUCAUCCCUUUGGGGCAUCCAAGAAACACCUUGGAGGAAGUGGACCAUUUCUCAAGUGACUAAAUCUCUGUGAGCUGGAACUUUCCCAGCUCACAUCCUUCGAGGUGGAGCUCAAGAUCACGUUGCCUUGUAAGUGUUGCUGUCCAAGAAGCAACAGUUCUUCCCAAGCAUUACCUGGGAGCCUGUUAGAAAUACAAAAUCUCAGCGCUUUCGUCCACCACCCCUCUACACACACACAGACACACACACACUUAGAAUCUGUGGGAGUGGAGCCCAGCAAUCUGUGUUUGCACAAACCCUCCAGGGAAUUCUGAUGCCCGCUGAAGUUUGAGAACUAGAGGUAAACUAUACCUUUCUGCAGGCGAGAACCUGGACCAAGGAGGGAGUGGGGAAAUGAGGAAAAAAGGAAAGAGAAAAAAAAAUGGAAAGACAGGGAAAAACUAAGGCUUGGUCCUGCAAUAUACUCCCAGCCCUGAAACUUCCUAAGACUUGAUGAACGUCUGUCCUUACCCCUUUACUUUCCAUUCCUCUCCUUAACUGGAAAUCAAUCAUUAGAAAAGAUAUUUGUUCUUUUCCCACAACCACUAUUUAGCUUGGCAGCCUCUCGGAACAAGACCCACUUGGGCAGAGGGGUCACCGCUGAUUUCAUCCUAUUCUUAGUAGUCAGUUAUUUUGCGACUCCUAUUGACUUAACCUCAAGGUCAAAUGGU
rnacentral:lncRNA from 10 species